GGGGGGGGCGGUGAGGCGGCCGGGCCGGGCACAGCUGGGGUGCAGGAAAACCCUCGUGUUUCCGGGGUGUGUGGCCGUGGGGUGUCCGACCUGAAGCACAGCUGGGCUGCAGGCAGGCUCUUGAGACCGCAUCUGGAAUGUUGUGUCCGGUUCUGGGCCCCUCAGUUCCAGCAGGACAGGGAACUGCUGGAGAGGGUCCAGCGCAGAGCAACGAAGAUGCUGAAGGGAGUGGAGCAUCUCCCGUGUGAGGAAAGGCUGAGGGAGCUGGGGCUCUGGAGCUGGACAAGAGGAGACCUCAUUCAUGGUUAUCAAUACAUAAAGGUUGACUGUGCCCCUGGGUCGAGGGGUUCCCACGGCAGCCCCGCUCUCAGCUGUGAAGUGUUUCCUGUGGGAUUCCUGAGGAUGUUGAUUUUGUGACGACUGUGGCUGGGCAAGUUGGGCUCUGCUGUGACCCCACUCGUGGUCAGGGUCCCCAUUGGGAGAUCUUGGCUUUAGCUGGUGAGCAAGAAUUGGAUUAAAUCCACAUCCUGACUCAACCCUGACUGCUGCUUCUCCCCACUGUGACAUCAAGUGGAUAGGAAUGCCUGCGCUUGCUUCCAGUGGGUCUCAAAUAAUCCUCUGCUUUGGGAACAAAUUCAUCUCUUAAUGUGGGGUUCGUACCUCAAAACAACAUGUUAAUAACGCAGCUUGUGGUUUACUACUAACUUUGUUUCUCAUCCCAAAAAACCCUGCUCAGGUUGUCACUGUGUUUAGAGAAGUGAGACACCAAUCACUAAAACAGUGAAGUCAUCUUGUAAGCCUUGCAAAGACCAGGAACUUUUUUACUUACUCACUCUGUGGGUAUGAGUCUUAUAGUCAGACAUGCCCUCAUGCAAUUUACCACCUCCACUCAAGUCUAUAUUUCCUGCAGAAAUGUGCUUUGUCACCCUGGUUGUUUGUAGGCAGCUGAGCAGCUCACUACAGAUCAACAGGUUUACCCAGGGCUAAUGCCCUUUCACUUCCACCUAAAAUAUUUGCCUCUUCUGUUUGAUAGUUUUCAGUCAAAAAUACUUCACACUGAAAUGUUUUGAACUUUGCUUGAAAACUUUGCCUAUAGUUAAUCUUUAAAUUGGCUAAUAAAAUAAUGGAUCCAAUUUUAUGACCACAGUAUACUCUGUCUCCUUAUUUAUUUUGCAAGGAAGAAAACAAAACCUUUUUUUUUCUUCUUUAACCAUCAAGCUAAACAUGUGGCACUUCUUUUGUUCUAGACUUGAAUAUUAAAGAAUUGUUACAUGCAGUGUAAUGAUCCCUGUUAGAACGCUAGAAAGAAUUGCUCUUUCAGUUCAUCAAAGAGCAAAUCCAGCAAAGAUCCUCCAUGAACAGCAAACCUGGGGGCAGAGAAGGGCAACAGCUGGUGACAGGAACCAGCAGGAGGGUAGCAGAGCCUGCCGUAUUUUAGCAUGACUAACAAAUGUGUUUUCUAAUUUUUAUUAUUGGCAAUUUAUCGGUCCCUUUUGAUGUUGUGGGUUGGUUUUUUGUGUGUGUGUGUGUAAUUUUGAGUGUUUCUGUGGUUUCAGGUCCUUAAAAAUCAUUCAGUCCAGUUUUGUACUUCAGGUUUACACAAUUCUUUCCUGCAGCUUUCUAUACAGAGCAGAGAAACCGACAUAAUAAAUAAAACUGAUGCAUUGAGGGCCCAUGGUUUCUGAAGGAUGAUGGCUGGAACAGCAUUUCUCCACCCUUAGACAAACCACUGGCAGCUGGAAAUACUUUCAAAUUUAUUUUUCCAUGCAAAAAGCCUUUCUGACAGAGAUAAGAACAACUUAGCUUCUCCUGAGCAAUGGGUAAAACUUUCAGCCUCCUGCUCCUCUUGCCAUAACUACUGCUGAGAAGCACUUUCAAGGGUUUCCGAAGUCAUUUAGGCUGAUUCACUUUUGGCUUUGAGAUGUUUGGAAAGUGCUGAGGAUUGUCCCCUAGAGACCUGUCUCCUUUAGCAUCAGGCAGUUUAGAUCACAAGUGACACCUGAAGCACAGUUUUAGCACCAGCAGUAGGGUUUGAAACCAUCACCUCUGACAAAGACCAAUAGCACUUGACCUAAUGAAACAACCUGGUUUGCUGGUCUCAGUCACACGCUGCUAUUUCUUCCAGAAAACAAAAAAUCAGCUCAUGCCUCUGUUUUCCCUUUUCAUUAUACACAAGUGAUUGCAAUGCAAAGCCGUAAUGACCAGUGCAAAAAGAGUCUCAAAUAAUGUCUCUCUGAUGUUUAGUCUGUGAUGGCUGUGACAACAUUAAAAUAUGACUUUGGUAUUUCUGUUCAA